CAAUAUGAGAUGCUUUUGGGGUUAUGAGGACGUCUGGUCUUGACGUGAGACGCUAAUGAAUAUAAAUGGCCAAAAUGCAUUAUAGGCGGUUUUAAGCCAAUUUAUUUGUAUUUUCUGAAUUCAUACAUCAGGACUAUACGAAGAAGCAACAAUUCGCAUUUUUUUGUGCACAUAUAAGGUUUUUACGGCCGUUUGUAACGUGAAUAACGAACCGUAAACUAACUUUGCCGACGUCAAUUAAGGGGCGUGGGAAAACGGCAAUAUUACUUCCCGUACUACGCCGUACUUCCGGAUUGGUUUAUUUUUUGUUUUCGCGCCCGAUCAAUGGAUUGCUGUGUGGCGACCUUGCUGUGCCUCGGCACAGCGCUGUACUUGCUCGUUCAGGUGAUUCGUUUCAUCUUUGCGGACGCCGAUCUGACUUUGCUCUGGAUGGUGACGUUUGGAAAGACGCCAGAGAGUACAUUGCGGGGAAAGGUGGUUUGGAUUACAGGGGCUUCCAGCGGCAUAGGAAAGGAGCUGGCCUGUCAGCUAGCAAGCCUGGGGGCUCGCCUGAUCAUCUCCGGCACGCGGGAGGUUGAGCUGCAGAAGGUGAAGAACCAUUGUUUGGAGCUCGGCAGUUUGAAGGAAGGGGACGUUUUGGUCCUUCCCUUUGACUUGCUGGAGCGAGACACUCAUGCUGCCAAAACGAGGGUCGCGAUACAGCACUUUGGCAAUAUUGACAUCCUGAUCAACAAUGGGGGGCGCAGUCAGCGCUCCCUGUUCCAGGACACGAAUCUGGAAGUUAUCCAGGCCCUGAUGGACAUCAACUAUCUGGGCAGCGUGUCGGUCACCAAGCACGUCUUGCCACACAUGAUGCAGCAGGGCACCGGCACCCUGGUAGCGGUCAGCAGUGUGGUGGGGCUGGCGGGGGCACCCCUGGUCACUGGCUACUCUGCUAGCAAGCAUGCCCUGCAGGGUUUUUUCAACUCGCUGCGCACUGAGCUGGCAGACUACCCCGGGAUCACCAUAAGCACUGUAUGUCCGGGGCCUGUGCAGUCUGGUAUCGUCCAAAAUGCCUUCACCGAGGAAUUACAUCGGCCGGUAGCUGUCGCAGGAGAACAGAGCCACAAGAUGGCCACCUCGCGGUGCGUACGCUUGAUGUUGGUGGGCAUAGCCAAUCAGGUCAAGGAGAUGUGGAUCGGUCAGCAGCCGUUCCUGCUCAUGCCCUACCUAUGGCAGUAUGCACCCACCUGGGCCUGGAGUAUCACUGGCAUGUUGGGUAAAAGGAGAAUGGAGAACUUCAAGGCUGGACUGGCUUUCCUAACGUCAUUGGAGCCAUUGACUGUACACAUGUGAGGAUAAAGGCUCCAGCAGGUCCAACAGAGCCUGAUUACAUAAACCGCAAAUCAUAUCACAGUAUUAAUGUACAGAUGGUACAGUGUAUGCACUGCUGAACAUCUCAUUUCAAACGUUGCGGCAAAAUGGCCAAGGAAUUUUUCCUGGCGUGUUGCUUGGUGACAGAGGGUACCCAUGCUUAUUGCUGUACAAUACCUGAGGUGGGCCCCGGGUUGCUGGAGGAUGCGGAUUCCUCUUACUUUACAAAGCCCAAGACGUCCUGAGGCCUUUUUUUCAUUUUGUUUGUUUGUUUAAAUCAAGAAAAGCUUGGCCUCUCUGUCACCGUGGUGCUUUUCCUGUUACUUAAAUGUUGAAAUCAGAAUAAAAAUGGUUCAAAGGCUGA